GCCGACGUAGCUCAGUUGGUAGAGCAACGCACUCGUAACGCGUGGGUCGCCAGUUCGAUUCCGGCCGUCGGCACCA
rnacentral:tRNA from 1 species